ACAACAACAAAGCCUUAAUGUCGAGUAUGCAGUUUUUAGUGUUAUAGAUGGAUUACAAAUCUUAAUGGCAUGUACCCAAAACACAGGUUCAGUUUUAGUGUCAUCAGUAAUUCUAGCUAGAAGUAUUAGUGCAUUUUGGCCUUUUGCUAUCAAUGAUUUCGAUUCAACUUGUGGACUUCAUUUGUAGGCAAGUUAUGCAAAAGCAACAGGCAAAUUAUUCAUUUUAGAUUAGCAUUUUUUAUUUCUGCAUAGAUUUGAUAAUUGCUAGCACUAAUAUAGUUGUAUCUUGGAUAGGUUUUGAUUUCACACUUAUUCCUUUUUUACUCCUUUUGAUUCUGCAUUUUUUCCAUUUGUAUGUCUUCUUUACUUUUGUUUUGUGUCCCCUAACUACUAAUCUUGGUGGUUUCCUUUCUUCUAUUCAAGUACCAGACGUAGAAGCAUCUUAUAGAUUAGAACAAGAUGAUAGGGAUGUAAACAGAUUGGAUACAGACGGAUAUUACUGAUAUCGUAUUUGUUUUCAUAUUUUUGUUCGAAUACGGAGUCGAAUACGGAUAUUGCUAGUUUUUGCCGGAUAAGAUUGCAAUGGAUGUCGACAUCAUAAAAAUGUAACUUUUGAGUAUUCGGAUACGGAUCGGUUAUAGAUAUUGAAUACUCGGAAACAGAUACGGACGGAUAAAAACCCUUCCAGACCUGAUCGAAUUCGAAUACAGUCGGGAAAUAUCCGUACUAUUUACAUCCCUACAAGAUGAUGCAGUUGUAGGCACCGUACUACUGCAGUAGGACCUGAUCUUGGUUGUUUUUCGCAUUCACCAGCAGGGAUUUUGGUGGAAGCGCGGGGGAUGGGCUCAAGUCCUCUACAACGGGUGGGGGUGAAAGGUCAGGGGCGUCAGACUAUAUCAAAGACCCUCUCAAAUAGAAUCUUCGUUUUUAUUGCAUUUUCUUCAGAUUUUUAUCCCCCAUCCAAUCCACCUUAGUGUUUUUGUAUUUUUUUAGCAUUUGUUGGUUGGGAAUUCGAGGCCAUGGAAACGAUAGUCUUUGCUGCUAGCUGGAAGGGUGCUGGGUGUGCUGGUGGUUUAACAGAGAUGGCACAGUUGCUUUUUUAGUUGGAGCUUGGAGCAACAUCUAUAAAGUUGGUGAUUUGCAACUUUUAUGGAUGUUAUGGAGGCUGGGGCACCGCCAACAACACACAUGGAUUUUUUGGGACUGGGUGGUACUGUUCAACUUCGGCAACACCAACAACAACACGAGCGGCGUUGCGGCAGGGAUAGGGAUCCGCAUUGCGCCGCCGGAGAGGCUAGCCUACUUCUACCACCCCACGGGGUGGCCCUCCGUCGACAGCAUCAUCCCCAACUUUCAUAUGU